UGGGGAAUAUUGGACAAUGGGCGCAAGCCUGAUCCAGCCAUGCCGCGUGGGUGAAAAAGGCCUUCGGGUUGUAAAGCCCUUUUGUUGGGGAAGAAAUCGUGCAGGUGAAUAUCCUGCGCGGAUGACGGUACCCAAAGAAUAAGCACCGGCUAACUUCGUGCCAGCAGCCGCGGUAAUACGAAGGGUGCAAGCGUUACUCGGAAUUACUGGGCGUAAAGGGCGCGCAGGCGGGAUAAAAAGUCAGUGGUGAAAUCCUACAGCUUAACUGUAGAACUGCCUUUGAUACUUUUAUUCUUGAGUUCGGGAGAGNGAGACGGAAUUCCAGGUGUAGUGGUGAAAUACGUAGAUAUCUGGAAGAACACCAGUUGCGAAGGCGGUCUUUUGGUCCGACACUGACGCUGAGGCGCGAAAGCGUGGGGAGCAAACA
rnacentral:rRNA from 1 species